CCCAUCAGCCACUUUAACACCUUUCCAACCACCCAUCCACUCUUUCCCUUUCCAACCACCCAUCCACUCUUUCCACCUAAAGAAUUUCCUUUCCAACCACACACGAUACAUUGUCUCCCCAAAAUCACAACUUUAGCCAUAUUUUUUUUUUAAGCAAUCAGCCAUACUUUUGUUAAAUCAAUCACAUGCAAAUCAAUAUUUUACAACAAUCAAUCCACUUGGAAAUUUCCUCACAAGCUCUUCUUCAUCCCUGAAGUGCGCAGCAACCAUAGUGAUUCCAGCAAACAAGCAAAUUCAGAAUCAGGCAGCAACCAUUUCACAUCCUAAAUACCUAAAGGCUUUGAGCAUCAGGAGGAUUAGCACUGCUAUUUCGAUUCAGAGAUAAGGUUAAACGACAGGCUUUGCCUAGACAGGUGGGCUUAUUUUUCAAAUGUAUGAUUUAGCUAUUGAGCUUAAAUAUUCGUGUAAUAUAAACUGUUUAUCCAAUAAAAUAUUUUUGUGCACUCUACCAUGUUUAAUGCUCGUACAGUUAAUCAAUUGAGGUUCUCUUAUGACCUAAAACGUUGUUUGAGAAUUGUGUACACUUGUUAGCUGACUCGGUGGGUUGAUCUCCAUCGGGCACUAACCAGAGGCGUUAUAAGGGUGCUCGACGGGAUGUGUUCCGGAGCAUAGAAAUGAUAGGCCUGUCUGGAUUAAUUUCCGAGGUUUAUUAUACUUGGCUGGGUUACGCCCUCAGUUCAAGUCAGCGGGAGACAGAGAUCCGUCGGUGGCUAGAGGUCCGGGAUCACAGCGAGUAACAGAAUGGAGUGUGCAAACGCGCGCAAAAUAAUUAAGUAUAUAUAUAUGAAAAUGUUUUAACAUGCAUAGAAGUUAUUUCUCUUUAAAACCUUCUAUGUCAUGUCAGUAAGAUUGGAUAAACUGUUCUUCAGAUUAUGAAAUGCUUUAAAAGUUGCAGCCCACUAAGUACAUUAGUACUUAGCCCAAAAUUACUUUCAAAUGUUUUCAGGUUAAUGGCUGGUGAUGACGGGGCAGAGCUGAGGCUAGGGUUCAACUCCGUAUUUUGUCUUCCGCUAUUGCACUAGCUUUUAUUUGUCUUUUAUUUCUCCAACUUAAGACUUUUAUGUUAAAUUCUGAAUUAUGUUUCUUAUCGAGCUUAAACUCUCAACUUCUAGCUCUAUGUUAUUAACGUUGGUUAUCGGAAGCAUGAAACCGAACUUGUGAUCCUAAGGCUUAGAAUGUUGUUGAUUGAUUAAUAUCACUUGAUUUUUGUCUUUCUUCA